AAAUUGAAGAGUUUGAUCAUGGCUCAGAUUGAACGCUGGCGGCAGGCCUAACACAUGCAAGUCGAGCGGUAGCACAGAGAGCUUGCUCUCGGGUGACGAGCGGCGGACGGGUGAGUAAUGUCUGGGAAACUGCCUGAUGGAGGGGGAUAACUACUGGAAACGGUAGCUAAUACCGCAUAACGUCGCAAGACCAAAGUGGGGGACCUUCGGGCCUCAUGCCAUCAGAUGUGCCCAGAUGGGAUUAGCUAGUAGGUGGGGUAACGGCUCACCUAGGCGACGAUCCCUAGCUGGUCUGAGAGGAUGACCAGCCACACUGGAACUGAGACACGGUCCAGACUCCUACGGGAGGCAGCAGUGGGGAAUAUUGCACAAUGGGCGCAAGCCUGAUGCAGCCAUGCCGCGUGUGUGAAGAAGGCCUUCGGGUUGUAAAGCACUUUCAGCGGGGAGGAAGGCGUUAAGGUUAAUAACCUUGGCGAUUGACGUUACCCGCAGAAGAAGCACCGGCUAACUCCGUGCCAGCAGCCGCGGUAAUACGGAGGGUGCAAGCGUUAAUCGGAAUUACUGGGCGUAAAGCGCACGCAGGCGGUCUGUCAAGUCGGAUGUGAAAUCCCGGGCUCAACGGAACUGCAUUCGAAACUGGCAGGCUAGAGUCUUGUAGAGGGGGGUAGAAUUCCAGGUGUAGCGGUGAAAUGCGUAGAGAUCUGGAGGAAUACCGGUGGCGAAGGCGGCCCCGACAAAGACUGACGCUCAGGUGCGAAAGCGUGGGGAGCAAACAGGAUUAGAUACCCUGGUAGUCCACGCCGUAAACGAUGUCGAUUUGGAGGUUGUGCCCUUGAGGCGUGGCUUCCGGAGCUAACGCGUUAAAUCGACCGCCUGGGGAGUACGGCCGCAAGGUUAAAACUCAAAUGAAUUGACGGGGGCCCGCACAAGCGGUGGAGCAUGUGGUUUAAUUCGAUGCAACGCGAAGAACCUUACGGUCUUGACAUCCACAGAACUUUCCAGAGAUGGAUUGGUGCCUUCGGGAACUGUGAGACAGGUGCUGCAUGGCUGUCGUCAGCUCGUGUUGUGAAAUGUUGGGUUAAGUCCCGCAACGAGCGCAACCCUUAUCCUUUGUUGCCAGCGGUUAGGCCGGGAACUCAAAGGAGACUGCCAGUGAUAAACUGGAGGAAGGUGGGGAUGACGUCAAGUCAUCAUGGCCCUUACGACCGCUACACACGUGCUACAAUGGCAUAUACAAAGAGAAGCGACCUCGCGAGAGCAAGCGGACCUCAUAAAGUAUGUCGUAGUCCGGAUUGGAGUCUGCAACUCGACUCCAUGAAGUCGGAAUCGCUAGUAAUCGUAGAUCAGAAUGCUACGGUGAAUACGUUCCCGGGCCUUGUACACACCGCCCGUCACACCAUGGGAGUGGGUUGCAAAAGAAGUAGGUAGCUUAACCUUCGGGAGGGCGCUUACCACUUUGUGAUUCAUGACUGGGGUGAAGUCGUAACAAGGUAACCGUAGGGGAACCUGCGGUUGGAUCACCUCCUUACCUUAAAGAA
rnacentral:rRNA from 1 species